UAAUUACACAAAAGUUUACAGAACUUCGAGAACAACGAUCGCUCAAGAUAUAAAAUAAAAAAAAUGUCGAAAAUAAUUUUAUUAUUAUCAAUUUUCGUAUUGAUUAGUCUCUAUGCUGGUGCAGAUGCAGCAUGUCCAGGCGGCUGGUGCCAUCCAUACCAAGGUUAUGGCUGUUGUGCAGAACAUGUGUGUAAUUCGUAUUUUACUCAAGGUACAUGUAUAACUUUUCAAGAACAAGCAAAUCUAAGCACUUUAGGAAUAGGAAAAAAAUAAUUGUAAUAAGAGUGAAAAUUUAAAGAUGUAUUUUUACAAUU